rnacentral:lncRNA from 1 species
UGCAUUAUUUUUUGACCUAAGAUGAUUGCGAAAUCCCUGACCAUCACUACAUCAGAGAAAUUACAUGGACCAUGAAAGUCUAAGGGCCUGGAAGAGGAGCAGACGGCUGCCGGUGUUUCACUAAUCAGUUGACACUACUAAUUGUAUUUCUAAUGCAAUUUGGAUGCUUCAAUUGUAUUUUGACUGUAUUUGGGCUAACAGAAUUCAAUUGAUGGCAUUUUUUUAAACUAAGGCAUUUUGAAAAUGGUCAUUUAGGAUUCAAGUAAGCAUUAAAUGACGUAUUGAAAGCAAUCAUCGAGCAUACUGAAGACUAUCAUGUCAAUUAAAACUAUUAAAAUAUAU